AACGAACGCUGGCGGCAUGCCUAACACAUGCAAGUCGAACGAUUGCCUUCGGGUGAUAGUGGCGCACGGGUGCGUAACGCGUGGGAAUCUGCCCUUAGGUUCGGAAUAACAGCUGGAAACGGCUGCUAAUACCGGAUGAUAUCGCGAGAUCAAAGAUUUAUCGCCUGAGGAUGAGCCCGCGUUGGAUUAGGUAGUUGGUGGGGUAAAGGCCUACCAAGCCGACGAUCCAUAGCUGGUCUGAGAGGAUGAUCAGCCACACUGGGACUGAGACACAGCCCAGACUCCUACGGGAGGCAGCAGUGGGGAAUAUUGGACAAUGGGCGCAAGCCUGAUCCAGCAAUGCCGUGUGAGUGAUGAAGGCCCUAGGGUUGUAAAGCUCUUUUACCCGGGAAGAUAAUGACUGUACCGGGAGAAUAAGCCCCGGCUAACUCCGUG
rnacentral:rRNA from 1 species